AUGUUGGAAGGGUUAAAGUUGAGUUCCAAGGGAGUUGGAAAGGUUUUAGCAUUGUUCGGCGCGAAUUGGAGUCGAAACAAUGUGAGAUUGAGGUUCGGGAGCAUUCGGGUGUUUCGGUGCGCGUAGGGCCCGAAAACGGAGCUCGAAAAGCUAUGAUUAGACCUUUGCCGAAAUUCGGCAAAGUGUGGAUGAAAAGAUGGUUUGAACGCGCUCGAAAACAUGUUUUGGGAGUCUCGGUUCGAUUUGAAUGAAUCGGAGGCCUAACGAGCGAAAACGAGCGAAAACGGAGAAGAAAGAUGAAAAUGCUGAAAAUUUGGCUAAGUCUGGAAAAGUGUACCAGUACAGAUACGAAAGUGUACUGGUACACUUCUGAAAAAUCUGAACAGCAG
rnacentral:lncRNA from 1 species